rnacentral:rRNA from 1 species
CCUACGGGAGGCUGCAGUGAGGAAUAUUGGUCAAUGGACGAGAGUCUGAACCAGCCAAGUAGCGUGAAGGAUGACGGCCCUAUGGGUUGUAAACUUCUUUUAUAUGGGAAUAAAAUGUUCCACGUGUGGGAUUUUGUAUGUACCAUAUGAAUAAGGAUCGGCUAACUCCGUUCCAGCAGCCGCGGUAAUACGGAGGAUCCGAGCGUUAUCCGGAUUUAUUGGGUUUAAAGGGAGCGUAGGUGGAUUGUUAAGUCAGUUGUGAAAGUUUGCGGCUCAACCGUAAAAUUGCAGUUGAAACUGGCAGUCUUGAGUACAGUAGAGGUGGGCGGAAUUCGUGGUGUAGCGGUGAAAUGCUUAGAUAUCUCGAAGAACUCCGAUUGCGAAGGCAGUUCACUGGACUGCAACUGACACUGAGGCUCGAAAGUGUGGGUAUCAAACAGGAUUAGAUACCCCUGUAGUC